rnacentral:rRNA from 1 species
AGCAGCCGCGGUAAUUCCAGCUCCAAUAGCGUAUAUUAGAGUUGUUGCAGUUAAAAAGCUCGUAGUUGAAUUUCGGGAUCAAUAUGUCGGUCGUGCCUUCGGUACGUACUGGUAUCAUUGGUCUCUCCUUUCUGACGAACCAUGAUGUCAUUAAUUUGGUGUUAUGGGGAGUUAGGACUGUUACUUUGAAAAAUUAGAGUGUUUAAAGCAGGCUUUAGCUUGAAUACAUUAGCAUGGAAUAAUGAAAUAGGACGUUCGAACCUAUUCUGUUGGUUUCUAGGAUCAACGUAAUGAUUAAUAGGGAUAGUUGGGGGCAUUAGUAUUCAAUUGUCAGAGGUGAAAUUCUUGGAUUUAUUGAAGACUAACUACUGCGAAAGCAUUUGCCAAGGAUGUUUUCAUUAAUCAAGAACGAAAGUUAGGGGAUCGAAGACGAUCAGAUACCGUCGUAGU